AUGAAAGUUACUAUAGUCGGACAGUUAUUUCUCUUGGUAUUGGUGACUUUCAGUGCACAUGAUGUGGUCAUUGUCUGCAGCUCCUCCUUGCAUGGAAACAACGAGACAGAUCGGUUAUCACUGCUUGGAUUCAAGGACGCAAUCAGUCUCGACCCGCGGCAAGCCCUGAUGUCCUGGAAUGAGAGCACCCACUUUUGCAAUUGGGAAGGUGUCACAUGCAGUGUGAAGGCUCCACCUCGUGUCACUUCUCUAGACCUUACAGGUCGAGAUUUGGUAGGACACAUUUCUUCUUCACUUGGGAACCUAACAUUCCUUCAUUCUCUAUCCUUGACGGAGAACCUACUCACCGGAGAGAUCCCACCCAUGCUCGGCCACCUGAAUCACCUCCAAACGCUCCUCUUGAAUAAUAACACGCUGUAG
rnacentral:rRNA from 1 species